GUAGGGAAUAUUGGACAAUGGGGGGAACCCUGAUCCAGCCAUGCCGCGUGGAGGAAGACUGCCCUCUGGGUUGUAAACUCCUUUUAUAUGGGAAGAACCGUCCUCAUUAAUGAGUGACCUGACGGUACCAUAGGAAUAAGCACCGGCUAACUCCGUGCCAGCAGCCGCGGUAAUACGGAGGGUGCAAGCGUUAUCCGGAUUCACUGGGUUUAAAGGGUGCGUAGGCGGAUAAAUAAGUCAGUGGUGAAAUCAACGGGCUCAACCUGUUAACUGCCAUUGAUACUGUGUAUCUUGAAUAUGAGAGAGGUAGGCGGAAUGUUGCAUGUAGCGGUCAAAUGCUUAGAUAUGCUACGGAACACCGAUUGCGAAGGCAGCUUACUAUUUCGUAAUUGACGCUGAGGCACGAAAGCGUGGGUAGCGAACAGGAUUAGAAACCCGAGUAGUCC
rnacentral:rRNA from 1 species